AACUUUGUGCAGUGGCAAUGUUGCAGCCAUGAGGUUUUAUUUGAGGCAUGAUUAUUACUAAUUGAAAACUUUUCCCAGGAAAAUAGUCCGGC
rnacentral:snRNA from 1 species